UCCCUCUUGGCUCAGUUGGCAGAGCACGUCACUAGUAUAUCUUAUUCUGGAAAACCUCCUGGUUUAAGUAUGACGAAUCAGUCGUUCAAGUCGACUAGCGGGAA